UUACCGCCUGCCCGCCCCCCAUAUUUUAUUCAAGGUGGCCCCCCAGCAACCCAGUUAUUAGGGAGUGGGGCCGGCACUAAUUUCUCACCCAUGUGCAGUGAUCCCAUGUUGAAAACAAACCCAUUUGUAUCCACUGUAUUAAUGCGCCAAGGGACUAUUUUAUGUGUCCUUAUGACUGACAGGUGGUGGAAGGAGCGAGCCAGAGUCUAGGGAGUGAGACUGUCCCUGGCUAUAAUACUGGUUUUAAAUCUCUCACUGGUCAGAGCUGAAGUUGUUAUUUACAACUUUAAAAAGAGAUACAACAAAUUUUCCCUUGUGAUCUCCAUAGUUGGCAAUUUUAAAUGUUGCUUGUAGAUAGACAGACAGACAGACAGACAGACAGACAGAAGAUAAAUAGAUUCACUAACUCCCUAAAAAGUCUUAGGAGACGCAAUACAUUUUAAAUUUAAAGGAAACUGAAAGGAAACAAGAAGACCAACAAAGAAUUAAUCAUAGUAAAACAGGGAGAGUAAAUUCUGGACAGAUGCUGGACUUUGAGAAAGCCCCCAAAAGAAAGCUUAGCCAAGAAAAAAUUAAACUGAAAAAUCAUAAAAAACACCAAGAUGAAGAUUAUAAAGAGAAUCAAGAAAAGCAGAUACACCUGAUGACUAGAAAAGCCAAGGGAAAACAAAGACACAUGAAGGAACGUGAGGGGCGAAGUCAAGUUUAUUUCCCUUUCGCCCAACAAGUCUUUGGAUGUACAAAGGAGCAGAGGAAAGGGUGCAGGGCGACCAAGGCCCUUUCUGUGCCAAAAGCAGGCCUAAACCCUGAUGGAAAUGGACCCAGAAAAGCAGCUUCUUCCAAGAGCACCUGGAUCUGGUCUGCAACCACUCGCUCCAGAACCUCGCUCCAGAAGUUGGAAAAACCAAGACGGGUAAGAUUUUAACACAGAUUCUUUCAGGUCGCAGUGAGGGGGACCAUUCAAGCACCCUGAGCCUGUUGGAGAAAAGGUAGGCUCUAAAUGGAAUCAUCCAUCAAAUAUGCAAACUAAAUAUUCCAAAGAGCUUGUAUUGAGCAACGUUGGUUAUUCAAUCCCUUUUUCAGAAGAGCUGCAAACUCGAAAGCCGAAUACUGUCGCUCUGCAUGCUUCUACCUGGAGGGACUUCUCUUGUCGGGACACCACUGCAGGGGAGGCCCUUUCCUGUGCCAUCACCACACAAUAAGGUGCAUCUCAGUGACGCAAGAAGUAGAAUUUUGCAAGCCUUCAGGAAACUUAACGGCAAGUGAACUUCACACUCCACCAUUCAGUGAUUUUUUAAAGUCCAAUCCUUUUGUGCUGGAUUCUCCAUUUCCCCCUGCUUGAUUUCUUCACAGUUCUGUCCAAGAGCCCACCACACUCAGGUGAAGCCAGCUCUUCCUGCAGAAGUCAGGUCAGUCAGAACAGCUGUGUUCCAAAAACAUUUCUCUGGAAUUGGCGGGAAAGGGCCGGGGACAAACUAAUGAGUCCAGAUUGCUUUUCACAGAUCAGCAGAAGGAACUUCCAGGCCCAUGAAUUCACACUUUGGAGGGACAAACAAAAAGG